rnacentral:rRNA from 1 species
GCUAGCUGCUAUAUCAACCUGUAACUCACAACUGGCAAUGCAUUGAAGCUCUGCAGGUCUGAGCCUGUUCAGUACCUGGAUGGAAGACCUCUUGGGAAAGCUAAGGUUGCUGCUGGAA